rnacentral:lncRNA from 1 species
AAGGAUAAUCUAAGUAGACAUCAAGUCAUAAAAUAUGGAAAGAAAAAAGUCUUGAAAACUAUAACACCUUACAAAUUCACCAGUCAAGAUCUAGAAGUUAUGAAAUCCUAAGUUCUUAGGAAUGACGCUAAUGUUUCAGUAUUAAUACCUUCUAUUAAAUCCAAUAGGUGGUAUAUUCUAAGUAAUUACAUAUUAAGUUCUCAAAAGUUGAAAAAUGAUAAUUUAAUUUAGACAUGUGGAAUUGGAGAACUUUAGUGAACUUCGAGGAUCAUUGUAACCCUAGAUGCCAUUUUUGUAGGUAGAGUAAUUUUUUAAAAAAAAAUUGAAUAUAAAAUAAACUCUUAGCAACUAUACCUUAGUUAUGAGAGGUAGAAAAGAAUUGACUAUGAACUAAAGAGAUCCCACCAGUAAAAAUAUUAUAACAAAACCAUUAGGUUAAAGAGAAAACUUAAAAACGAGUAAAGAUGUCUUCAAACCACCUAGUCACGGUAAAUUUGGAAGACUAAAUUUAUUUUAAAGGGGGACAAAUUGUAACAACUUAGCCUGAGAGAAACAAACCCAACCCAUCUGCUUCUUAGAAGCAGAAAAAGCCAAAACGACGUCAUUUUGGAAAAGUCCAAAAACGACAGCGUUUUGAUAUAAAGGAAGAGAAAAAAAGAAGUAGGUGAUAUGAUGUCAUUUUGAGAGCAUCA